rnacentral:pre_miRNA from 1 species
AGACUCCCCAGGCUCGGCUGGAAGGCCACACUCUGAGCCCAGAGAGCGUGUUUUCAGGGUGUUCACUGCUCUCCCCUAGAAUGUCAGGUGAUGUGUCACCCCAA